UACGGAGGAUGCAAGCGUUAUCCGGAUUCAUUGGGUUUAAAGGGUGCGUAGGCGGAGUACUAAGUCAGUGGUGAAAUCCUGCAGCUUAACUGUAGAACUGUCAUUGAUACUGGUAUUCUUGAAUGCAGUUGAGGUAGGCGGAAUGUGUAAUGUAGCGGUGAAAUGCUUAGAUAUUACACAGAACACCGAUUGCGAAGGCAGCUUACUAAACUGUGAUUGACGCUGAGGCACGAAAGCGUGGGGAGCAAACAGG
rnacentral:rRNA from 1 species